rnacentral:sRNA from 1 species
AUGAACUGGUACAAGGACAAAUACAUUGAUGUUAGAGUGAGUCAUAUAUUUUAAUUGUUCUUCAUUUUCGCUAUCGAAGGCAAAAAGAAUUCACGUAUGAUUAACAAUCUCCUAUAAAAGAAAUCACCAAAUAAUAGUGCAACAAGAAGAGUACGGAAGAUUAUUCUCUGUUUCCAUGCGGUAUGUGACCCGAACUAUCUUCAUCAUCUUGUGGCAUCAAAAUUCAUUUACAAUGUGGUGUGUGACUUAGCUGUUUUCAUUUCAGCAAUUGUCGGAAUAGACGAUCGAACAGGAACUAAUUAGCGAAGCAGAAAAGAAGCAUUUAAGAUCAGAAGAUAUCCAUGGAGGUAUACACCAAAGUGAGAAAUGUUCACAAGCACAUCACAAUGUGUUAACCAAAAAAAAAGGUAAACUAGCAUUAGUGUGUUCAAGUAGUUUUUUUUAGAGGAAAAGUGUGUUCAAGUAGUUAGAAAUAAAAGCUAAGGGAAAAAAAAUUGAUGUCAUGACUUGAGCUUCUAUUGUUAUUGGUCAAGACAAUGAUUAUAAACGACGGAUUGAUAUUGAUUCAUUGUCUUUUGUAUAGGAUCCAACGGAGCUCUAUGGGAUAAGUUACAACAUCCACCUAAUUACAGAACCUGCUUUGAGUUUGUAAAAUUUGUAUUCGGGGCAGUGCCAUGUAUAUUUCUGUUUUAUUGUCUUCAUAAGCUUAGCACACUAGGAAUACAGUUAUAUGGAAUUUCCUCCUCUCGCGCAAUAAUAGAUUUCAGUACAAUAAUAGAAUUUAUUAUUCAUGUGAAAAGAGAGAGUAUUACGUUUUUAAAGUUUGAGAAUAUCUAAUAAUUUUCCUCUUCGUAUAUAUGUACCUAUUUACCAUGCUAAAUGACACUUUGAUUUGAGAUAUACUUUAUAACUAAGCUCUUUUUCAUUUUUCAGCAAUUUUUAGAAAAUGCACAAUGAAGAAAGCUGAUAGAGAGAACCCUGUAAGACCCGAUGUUACCCAAGGAGGUAAAUUUCAAAGCGAGAGAUUAAUGUUCACACCGUUAUAUGUUAUAAGAAAAAAAAAUGUUCGCUAAUUGUUUGAGAAGCUAGCACACAAAUACAAUUCACAAUUUCAGUGAUUUGACUUGAGCUUGUUGCUAUUGGUCUAUUCAAGAGAAUGAUAUUAUUAAAUGGAUUAAUACUGAUCAAUUUAUUCUCAUUCUUUAUUUUGUGCUGCAGGACACCCAUCACCCUAUCGAGUUGAGGGGCAUCAAUUACAACUUCCACCUAAUUACAGAACCUGCUUUUGGCUUGUAAAACUUGUCUGCUUUUGGCUUGUAAAACUUGUAUCCAAGGCAGUGCUCAUAAUACUUGGUAUUUAUACGUGGAUUGAGAUCUAAUGCAAUUGCACCAUGCAACUAACCCCCUCCUUCUCACAAUAGUUUUUUACCUUUUUUUACUUUUUCUCAUUUUUUUAAUUUAAUGGUUUGCAACUUUAAAUCUCAGUUAUCCAUAGCAAUUGCAUCAGGUGCAAUACCCUAGGUAUUGCACCUAAUCCUAAUCCCUUGUACGCAGUUCCUUAUUUUCUGUUAUAUAUGUUUCCUUUGAGUAAUGCCAGCUAUGUACGCACAUAAUAUAUUUCACAAAAAAAUUAGUAGUUGUCAUAUUAUUUUUAAUUUUAACAUAGAUCUACCAACACUAUUAUAAUAUCCACCAUUAACAAUUUGUCACUCCAAGUUGUUGUGAAAUUCAUUAUUCACACACAAGAAAAUCUUUGCUUGGCUUGAUAGAAAAUUUCACUAUGUGCAAUUGCAUAUAAGCUUAGCAAACAUUGCUAGGUCUGUCCAUCUUGUAACUCUAGACUUACUGAUUGCCUUUAUAUAUAUGUCCAAAAUAUCUAUCUAUUAUUGAAUUAGUAAUGCUCUAAUUAUUACAAAAUUUAGUACAUAAGUUUUACUACAAAAAUGGCAUAUCAUUUUUUAAGCAUACAUUAAAAAAGUAAUUAUGAAAUUUAUUAUAAUUGUUGUUGUUGUCAUAUCAACCACGUUCAUUGUUACAUUAGCUUGUAAAUCUUUUAGGUUUUAAAAGUUUAGAACAAUUAGCAAAUCGUGAACAAAAACUUGUCAAGAUAUAAAUCCUAGAGUCUAUAGGUAUUAUUAGAUAAUGCUCACGGUGAUUCAAGUCAAUAUUCAAGAACAUGCAAGCUGUAGAAAGAAGAAUUUAGAAACUGCCUGGUUUGAUCGAUUGAAAGACAGGCUCAACCAAUUGAAACACGUAUCUGUAGAAUUCUAUUUUAGUCCAAAACUCUACUUAAACGUAUUAGGUUUCAAGUAAAACACUUCUAGUAUAUAAAGAAAACUCUAAGCACGUUUUUAUGAGGCUUUUCAGAGAGAGAAGAGUGUGCCUCCUUUGUAUCUAGGGUUUUGUACCUAAAAGGCUCUCUCAUGUCUUCUACCGGUGUUAUUCUUUGAAGAAUCUCAAGAUUCGGUAUUGUAGAAGUUAUUGCCUUCUUUAGUCAUCAAAGGUGCUAAUGAUCUAAAUCUUCAAGGGUGGUCUUGGAGUCACAAACAAGAGAGUUUGUGUUUUUUGUCACAAGUGUUGGUGCUUGUGUUGCAAAGGCCAAGGAAAGAAGUAGUCCGUGAACUCAGAGCUAUUAUAGGGUUGUGGUAGUAAGUUUUCUACUCGAGGUAGCAAUAAGAUGUUAGUGGUCUAAGUUCUAUUUUACAAACUUCAAUUCUUUCUAGUGGAUUACCUUGAAGAUAGUUAGGUUAAAUCAUCCCCAUAUUUUUUACCGGUUUGGUUUUCCUGAGUCAUCAUAUCAUUGUGUUCUUUAUAUUUUUCGCUGUUUUACAUGAUAUAAUUUGAUUGUAUUAACCUAGAUUUGAAUAAUUUAUCUAAGUAAUCACUUGGCUAAAUAAUUAGGUUAAAUAACUUGUGUUUUAAGGGGUCUAAAAACGUACAAAAUCUAUUAUUAUAAAAUUAGUAAUAACUUCAAUGUUUUCUUUAUUCAAUUACUUAACAAACAUCUGUAAGUAUAUCAGAUUUAAUUGGUAACUUAUUGGUGGUAUGGAUCUUCAGGAGCUCCGGAGAUGGUAAGGAAGGUAAGGACGACGAAGGAGAGGAAUGUAUGGUCUGUUCGGAUCAUGAACAAGCUUUUGAAGAACACUUCAACGUAUCAAUUUUCGAAAGACAUACCUUCGUUUUCGUCCCUCUAUCCAGUGUUACCUGAUCAUGCAAAUUCUCAAAAAGAUGAUGAGUAUAGCCCUUAUGGUUUAAUUGAGAAGCAUCUGCAUACUCCAUCCAGCGUAAAUGAAGAGCAUGGAAAAGGUAAUCAUCUAAUUCAACCUUAA